AUAAAUUUUAGUGUUAAAUUAAAUUUAUUUAAAUAAUAAAUUUAAUUAUUUUGUAGUAAUUAAUAUUAAAAAUAUAAGAAAUUAAGAUUUAGUAAUAUUUGAAUUAAUAACAAAUUUUGUGCCAGCAGUUGCGGUUAUACAAAAAUUGAAUUAAAUUUUAUUAGUUAAUUAAAUAAUAAAAAUCAUUACAAUAAAAUAAAAUUUAAAUUAUUAGGUGAAAUUUUAAUUUAAUAAAAUUUUAUUUAAUUUUUAUGAAUUAAUAACUUUUAUUAAAAACUAGGAUUAGAUACCCUAUUAUAAAAAUUUAAAUAAAAAUACUAAAAUAGUAAGUAAUUAUUUAUUGAAACUUAAGUAAUUUGGCGGUAUUUUAGUUCAUUUAGAGGAAUCUGUUUAAUAAUUGAUAAUCCACGAAUAAAUUUACUUAAUUUAAAAUUUUGUAUAUCGUUGUUAAAAAAAUAUUUUUUAAUAAAAAUAAUAUUUAAAUAUUUAUAAAAUAAAUUAAAUCAGAUCAAGAUGCAGAUUAUAAUUAAGAAUAUAAUGGAUUACAAUAAAUUUAUUUAAAUGAAUAUUAAUUUGAAAAAAUUAAUUGAAGGUGGAUUUAAAUGUAAUUUUAUUUAAUUUAAUAAAAUGAUUUAAAAUUGAAAUAUGUACAUAUUGCCCGUCGCUUUCAUAUAAAUUUAUAAUUAUAAAUUGGAAUAAGUCGUAACAAAGUAGAGGUACUGGAAAGUGUUUCUAGAAAGAA
rnacentral:ncRNA from 1 species